GAAGGCUGUGAGGAAGCCACAUGCUGUUUUUCAUCUCCCAGCAUUGUACCCUUACUCCUCCUCUUUAUAUUGAAGUAACACAGUGAAACAUGCUGUGUGUAUCUGGGGGAGGAGAGGAAAACAGAGAAGUUGCAACUAUGGGGAUGGAUUUGGAGCAAUCCAGAUUUCAUUUGCCCCCUUUCCACAAGAAGGUUGUGGAAGCUGUGCUCCUGACCCAUUUGUUCUUCCAUUACGCUGUAAUGUUUGGAAAAAUACACAGCAGGAUUUAUGGAAAGUGCUUCAAAGCCUAAUUUUCCUCUCCAAAUCUCCAGCAGGUAUCUCUCCGAGCUCCGCUUCACAUGAAUCUCUCUCUGUUGUGCUCAGGCCUUGGAAUCACCCAAGGUCACUACUGCAAAACACAGCGUGCCCUGAGGACCUCCCCAGCCUUUCUGCACAGGUGUGAGCUGGCUCAUGAUGAUGACAGUAUCCACUGAGGACCAGAAAGCUAUAAACAGUACUAUAAACUCAAAGAUGUGUGUAUAGCACCAGAGGUAAAGCAUUCCCAUACUGACGUGGAAUCUAAUUCCAGCCAAUGAUUUGUAACAAUCAUGAACUUAACCUGGAAGGAGACAGGUAAGCAGUCAUGUGAGGUAAAUGGGCUUUGUCUCCCCAAAGCCUUCUCUCUUGAAAUGAUUUCCUCAUUAAUGCACUCCUUCCUAAAUUCUACUUUAGCUCUCAUUUGCAUUUUUGAGUUCUUAAGGCUGUUUUCAGAUGUACUGUAUACACGCCAAAGGCCAUGUAAAUGCAGGCUCUACUCUGAGCUCAGUGAACUUCAGCCAAUUUAUUCUAGUUGAGUAACUGUCCAGGUGAAUCCAGAUUUCUUUACUCAUUUUUCAGCAGAAUAAACUGUAAUCAGCCUCUCUGUAAAUAUGCAUCUUAUAUACCCAAUAUUAACUAGAUCUAAUCAGCUUAAUUAUGUGGUUAAUAAUAAUUCAAGUUCAUGCAGCAUAAUCUUCUAUUUAAAGUGGGUACAAUAUUUUACAGUAUCUGAAAAAUGGCUUGGCUUAAUAAACAGAUGGAAGAAAAAUAUCUUUAAAAAGAGAAUUAAAGGACAACUCUUGAAUGCAGAUUGCAGCAUUACCCAAAGAACAUUCACACACAAAUCCUUCUUCCAGAGAAGUGCUGCACAACAGGCGUUCACCAACAAAAGGAUUUUCAAUACUAUUUGAAAUCCUGUUCUGGCUUCUACAGUGCAAAUCUGUCUCCUCAUCUGCAGGAGAGCUCAAAAACAGUACAGUUGUGUUCUACUGUGCAAGUGCCAACCCUACGGCAGUGCCAAUUCUGUACUGUAUAAACCGUUUUGUAUCUCUAUUUCUACCUGCUAUCUCUUUUGCCUCACUGGUACAAACAAAUGUUGUUUUGGUGCAAGGCACUGCAGAAUGAGUCUGGAUGCAUUGGCAUACUUCUGAGUUCACUUCCUGAACCGUAUUAAUAUCUAAUAAUUAAAAACCGUUUUCAAAUACUUAAAAUUCAUGUUUCACUAAAGAUGGUUAUACCCAACACCCACAUUUUGACCACUUUUGGUUUAUAAUUAUCCUUUUCUAAUUCUUCCAUAUUUACUUAUUGUAACUCUAUAUAUCAUAUACAGCAUUUAAUGCUAUAUUUUAAACUGCAGACAGCAAAUCAAAAUGCUUCAGCUCUGUUUUUCAUGGUUCAGACAUGUCUGAAAUAUAAUGAGAGCAGGGAUUUGUCUGCCCUGAUUUAAUUACUACAAUCCAGAUAACUCUGUCAAUCAAUUUUUCUCCUUGUGACUCCUGGCAGGGUGAAAAAUGCCUUCAUUAUAAGGACUGAUCAUUAGUGGAUGUGAAGUUGAGAAGAUGAUGAAGAUGAGUUGUUGGGUCUGGCAGAGAAUUGACCCAUCAGUGUCAUUAAGUGAACUGCGGCAAGCCCAGCAAUUCCCAUGGGGCAAAUCAUUGAAUUCCUCAGGAGCAAAGGUCUGUGUCUGUCUAUACCAAAGCACUUUGAAAUGUACACACAUGCAGUUUGCAGUAGUCUGAUGGAUAACUAAACAAUUACACAGGCAGUAACUGAUUUGUCCUUCUCUUUUCAUGAAAGAAACAACCUUUAAGGUACUGUGUUUUAGUUUCCUUUCUAUGUGACGGUUUAAAUAACGUUUAUAUCCACUGCCCUUUCAACUCUGUAUUACCAAAGUUCAGCUCCAAGCUGCAUCCACCUCCCAACACACAAAAGCUCUGUAUUAAAAAUGUUAAUUGCAAUUCUGAGUUCUUUUCCUUCUAAAUACUGAACGACAAGACCGGCUCUCUGAGCUCUAAGGAAUUUGUAAUCAAUGUUUUUCACAUAGCUGUAAAAACACCUUCCUGUAGAGCAGCCUCAGUGACAAGCAACUGAAUGAAAAACGAGCACUGUAUGUUCAAUGUUUUUUUCUAAACUAUGCUUUAAUUGCAAACGGUAAUUUUACGUAAUUGACCUAUUAAUCAUAAAAUAAAAUUUAAAAAAGGAGGAAAAUUGUUACAAACCAAAAUAUUGCUAGGAGAGCAGUACUCACACAGAGAACAUUCUGUUGGAAUCAAAGGCAUACGCAGGGGACCACAAUACGGAGGCAGGGAUGCUGUGCAGGUUACUGUCAUUGUGCUGCUUUUAGAGUAAGUUGUAGAGGACACCGUGUGGGGACUCAGGGCUAUGUGCUAUAAGCCCCCAGGCACCGCAGUCUGACCUCUCCAGCUUUCAGGCUGCAGAGUCGGGCAGUUCUUGCAGUGCCCAUUUCAGCUCCUGUGCUAAUUCUUCCCUGGUGGACUACAAACAUUUACUGAGAAGAUUUAAUUGUGAGGUCUUUGGUUGCUAGCACAUGAUUCAAACUUCAGAUUGAAGGCAAUUUAAACACACGAGUGUGCAAGCAGGGAGAUGCAAAGCAUGCAAGCAACCUUUGGCAGGAGUACAGAGAGAAUACAG
rnacentral:lncRNA from 1 species